CAACAGACCCCAAAGCGAUAGGGUACUGAAUACCUCCUUUCCGUGAAGCUCGACACACCCACCGGAUCGCCAUCUCUCCCGGCGUUCUACUCCGGUGAGAUCCUUCUCCAUCUCCGAUUAUCAUCACCACCAAUCUCCUCCGAGCUUCCUCUUGUUCCCGUGAUGGAGAGAAGAUGGUCAAAAUCGAAAUCAAUUUUAGAUUCCGACCACAGCCGUACGUUCUCCGUCCGACGGCCACCUCCGGCGAGAGCAAUUAAUUUUGGUGAAUCGAAGAAAUCACCUUCAUCUCUCAUCUUCGCCUCUCGAUAUGAGACAUUUAUCACCUCCAUCUUUGCAUGCGUUCUACUUCCGUCCUCUUCGGUGGUCUCCGGUGAAUCGGACCGCCGCCGUCACCGUUCAUCCAAGCCCAGGAGAUCGGCUCCGUUUCUCCAACGAGCUUCAUCUCUCCUCCGACGAGAUUCACAGCUCAAUUGCUCUUGCCUUAAUCGAUAUCUAACUCCAUCUGCUGCGUUAAUAGUCGAGAAGAAAACAAAAUUCCGGUAACAAGUCGGGCUCUUUCUGUGGAAUCCUAGGAGCAAUUAUUGACCAUGAGAUAAUCGAUUUCUCAUUCUGCUUUUCAACUGUGACUCCACCUGAAACUGGUAUCCCUCUCAACACAAUUUCAGCAAUUUUCAAACAAGUAAUUAAUUACUUGCCUUGAUUCACUUUCUCCUGACUGGCUGAUUACUCCAAUCUCAUCACGUGUGAUUUUCUUUAACACUUCUCAACAGAUACUCCCUUUUUCCAGACUUUCCUCUGAAAGAGCUACUCCCUUAGCUCUAUCUCCGUCACUGUUCACUCCGUGAAUAGUAGACGUUUUUCCCAAAUCUUCCAUUUCAGCUUCAUCGCUUGAGCUUUCUUUAACCAAACUGAUUCCUGAAGAAUCCCUUUUCUUUAUGAUACUUUCUGCUUUUUCCUUCAAGAUCCCUUCUUCCUUCAUCUCAUUUUCACGCUUCACCCACUUCUUCUUGGCUUGUAAUCAGAAUUUCUUUUACUCUUCCAGAUUUCGCCUUCCUCCACCUUUGGACUGGUGGUACUCUUGUAGGACCUUGAAUUAAUUUCUCACUGAAAGUCACUUUCUUUGACUUCUUCAUUCUCACUCCAUAUUCAGCCUUAGCAAUAUUGUUUUCAUCAGUUUCAGCCUCUGGUACACUCUUUUCAGCCUUAACAACUGUGCCUUGAAGAUAGUAAAGCCCUUCGUGAUAUUUUCCACUUGUCACUUUCUUACCAUCUUUGUAGAUAUUCACCAUGAACUCGCUGCCCUCAUACGUACAACCCGACUUCUCUAACAUUCCAUAGGAGAUCAGAUUCCUACUCAUAUGUGGCAUGUACCUCACAUCUUUGAGUAUUACCACAAAACCGUCUGGUUUCUGUAUCUGAAUUUUUCCUAUUCCUUUGACCUCACUAUGACUGUUAUUAGCCAUUAUAACCUUUCCUCCAUUGAAUUCCUUAAGAUCACUCAAGAUUUCCUUGUUUGGUGUGAGGUGGAAUGAACAACCCGAGUCCAUAUUCCAUUCUUUUCCUUGGUCUUGAGUGCUCGCAGUUAACACCAACGGUUGAUGUGGUUCUGUUGCAACGUUUGCUGAGCUUGAAGGUUUGUUUGUGUUCUUCUUGGGACAUUCUCUUUUCCAGUGCCCUUCUUUACCACAAAUGAAACAACCUUUGUCAGUUUUCUUGUACCUAGGCCUAGACCUGCCUCUGCUUUUAGACCUUCCUCUCCCCUGGUUGUUCUCACUGUUGAACUGAUUAUCUGAUCUGCCUCUUCUCUCAACAUAUAACCCUUCUGCCACUGAUCUUGAAAGCUUUCCACUCUCUGUGAGUGUUUGGUAUCGUUGAUUCUACUGCUUGAUUUAGGAGAAGAAACUUUCCUAGAUGCAGUAUAUUCUAGAGACCUAAUUGAAUUUAUGUUGGCCCUUUUGUUUUGGUAGAAAUUGAAGUUUUCGUGAUUUUUUUUUGUAAUCUAGGGUUUUAUUUUGGUAAACUUUACUCCAAUUUUUUUUUGGAUAAACGUAUCUCGACUUCUUCGUUUGACCUUGAAUGUUGACUUUCUUUUUAGCGUUCUAUUUUCUUAGGUCGUUUUGUUCCAGAUUUUGUGUUGUUAGUGUUUAGUAUCCUUGAUUUUGAGGUGUUUCUACUAUUAAACCAUCGAUGGGUUUUGGCUGAUUUAGGAUAGAUGGCGAUCAAUUGAGGCUCAUUUGUUCAUGUUUUCAUCAAUCACAUGCGUCGGAUGUGCUCCACCACGCUGCUGCAUUCUAGGUAAAGCAAAUGGAGCAGGAGGCAAAUCACCAUUGGUGUUCCUCUUCCUCUCCACAAGACGUCGUACUUUCCUUAGCAUGUAGAGGCCUUGUAGCUAGGUUGAAAUCUUGUUGAGUUGAAAUAACAAGUAUGUUUGGUGGUAGUCUGCCUAGAAGAGUCUCAUCCAACAUUUCUUCCAUAAAAAGCGAAUCUACAACAUUGAACGAUCUCUCAAAUUCAUUCGGUAUAUCCUCUCCUAGAUGUGCUACAUUACGACAUCCAUCAUCCGCGCAUAGACAUUUUCUUACGGGAGCUUCAAGGAAUCUGAAUCCCAACGCUUAAAUAAUGGCAUGCUCGGUUCGGUAUUAAACAUGUUUGUGUCUACUAUAAACCAUCACCGGCUCGCAAACUGUAUAAUCCCUAUCAACUAGCUGAAGACAACUUUGAAUAUUAUCUAGAAUGUGAGCCACGAGAAUGUUCCUAGAGUAACUGCAGUUUUCACUAUCAUGAAAUACAGCAACAACAUGAUCUUCAAAUUGAGUCAGGAUCAUGAUGUUGGUGUAUUUUAGGAUAGUGAAAACUGCAGCUUCUCUAAGAAGAAUCUCGUGGCUUGCAUUCUAGAUAAUAUUCAGAGUAGUCUUUGGCUGGUUGAUACAAUUAUAUAGUUUGCGUGUCGGUGAUGGUUUACAGUGGUCACAAACGUGUUUUUUUACCGUACCGAGCAUGUCGGUAUUCAAACGUUGAGAUUCAGAUUCCUUGAAAUAUCUGUAAGUAGACGUCUAUGUGCGGCCGAUGGAUACUGUAAUGUAGCACAUCUACGAGAGGGUAUACCUGAUGAACUUGAGAGAUCGUUCAAUAAUGCAGAUUCGCUUCUUAUGUGAGAAAUGUUGGGUUAGGCUUUUCUAGGCAGACUAUCACCAAACAUAUUUGUUAUUUCAAACAAACGAGAUUUCAGCUUAGCUACAAGAGCUCUACAUGCUACAAGAAUGGGAUAGAAUGCUGCUCCAUAUGCAAAUUGCCUCCUGCUCCAUUUAUUUCAAACCAAUGGCGAUUUGCCUCCUCCAUUUGCUUUAGCUACUUGGGAAUGGGAUAGAAUGUUGCAGUGUGGUGGAGUACAUAUGGCGCAUGUGAUUGAUAAAAACAGGAACAUAUGAGCCUCAAUUGAUCGCAUGAUUAUUCUUAUGUUCAUCUUUAUCGAUGUUGCAUGAUUAUUCUUAUGUUCAUCUUUAUUGAUGUUGAUUACGUUGGUUGGUUUUUACAAACACAGUUUUAAUGUUUGGUUUUAUUUAAGAGUCUUAGAUUCUAUCAAAAACUUGGAAGUUUUAAUGGUCAUAGAUUAACUGAGCUUCCCCCCUCCAAAUCUUUUUUGUAGUGAUUUCGUUUUCUGAAACACUUAAUCUCGCAAUAUGCUAAUCAUUGUGUGACAAUUUGCUCUUCUUGUUUUUAAUGCAAUUUGAACAAAUGAGAUUCUUUUCCGCCAAUGGAAAGAAUGAUAAAUAACAAUCAAUAUUCCAUAUUUAUGUUCUUGAACUAAGCUGUGAUAGAGACGCCUCAAUCUGAAUCUGGAAACUUAACUAAACAAUUAAGUUUCUUUAGAGAAAUCUUGAUGAUCUUUUACAAUUUUGCAACGUAGUGUACAACAAAUGAAGGUAAUAUUUGUUUUAUGUUCCAAGGCACAUUACUUUUGUACAAGAAAGUAGAUGUGAAUUAAUCGUAAAAUUUUGACAGUCACAUUUGAGCUUUCUGGUCUCAUGCUUCCUCGAGAAGAAGCGCAAUGGCUGAAUCCAUGGUCACUACAUCAGGCUCGGAAUCUUCGUUAUAUCGAUCCACAUUAUUCAGAGUAAUCCCUGCAGAGUCACAAAGGGAGCAAAAUCAUUACACAAAAUACACUUCCAAAACGAAUUAGUGGUAAAAAAAUUAAAUUAAUUAAAGGAUAUAUAUCGGGUACACCAAAUUCGGUUUUAGUCCAUAUCCUAAGUAAUGAGACCCGUCGGUUUAUAAACAAAUUUCGGUUUCAUUUCGUCUAAGCUUUUCGGUUUGGUUCAGUUUAGUUUGUUUGUUUUUGUUUCUUCUGUAACAGAUUCUUUUUCUACUUUAUUUCUCAUCUUCUGUUUUUCUUGCAUAUGCAUCGUUACGACACCAUUUGUUUAUUUUAUUAACAGGUGAGUUGUGAAGUAAGGGAUAAUGUAAAUUAAACCUGCAUAUUUUGUUUGUUUCA